UGAGGAAUAUUGGUCAAUGGGCGCAAGCCUGAACCAGCCAUCCCGCGUGCAGGAAGACGGCCCUAUGGGUUGUAAACUGCUUUUCCAGGGAGAGAAACUUGCGCACGUGUUGCGCAAUUGACGGUACCCUGGGAAUAAGCAUCGGCUAACUCCGUGCCAGCAGCCGCGGUAAUACGGAGGAUGCGAGCGUUAUCCGGAUUCAUUGGGUUUAAAGGGUGCGUAGGCGGACUAUUAAGUCAGUGGUGAAAUCCUGCAGCCUAGCUGCAGAACUGCCAUUGAUACUGAUAGCCUUGAGUUUGGUUAAGGUAGGCGGAAUGUGUAAUGUAGCGGUGAAAUGCUUAGAUAUUACACAGAACACCAAUUGCGUAGGCAGCUUACUGAGCCGACACUGACGCUGAGGCACGAAAGCGUGGGGAUCGAACAG
rnacentral:rRNA from 1 species